rnacentral:tRNA from 3 species
GGGCCUAUGGUCUAGUGGUACGACGUCGCAUUCGCAUUGCGGAGACGGCAGUUCGAUUCUGCCUAGGUCCACCA